AAAUUGAAAAGUGGAGUUGCUCACAUUAACAGGGCACUGGCUCAAAUAACUCAAAUAACUUGUUUUAUCUUCAUUUUUUUGUUUAAGUGAUUUUUAGUAAUGCAAAAAGUAAAGUUUAAGGUCUUAGUUGACUUUGAGGUCCAUGAACUUUGGGCACUUGUCUCACAGAAAGUGAUAAGCUUUCAAAUUUCGGGGGGUUUUCCAGGACCCCACUUAAAACCCUGACUAAAAAAAGAAGAAGAAGAAGACGAAGAAAGAAACGAUCGUUUUCUGCUCUAAUGGCGGUGUUGCUUGCAGAUGAAGCCAUUGAAGAGAAAGUUUCAGCGAUCUAGAACGAUGUAUCAGAAAUCAGAAACAAUUUCAGAAGCUUAGUUUUGGUGUGGAGGAGAAGGAAAACAAUGUAUUCGGUGGUUGGGUGAGAAGGAAAAAAACAAUUUGUAUAAACGUGGGUGUGGAGUUGAAGAACGUGUGCAGUUUCAUGAAAAUGUGGGGAGUUUUUUUUUUGUGGGUUGUUACAGGAAGUGGGAGUUGGGUUACUGGAUACGUGGGGGUUAGAGGAACUGGAUUUUCACAGAAAUAAGGUUUUAAAUAC